rnacentral:misc_RNA from 1 species
AUGAUGAUUGCCACCCACCACCACAUUUGUAGCACCGUCUAGAAACACCUGUACAGGAACAAAACGGCUGUGGCAGGCCAGAAAAAUCAGCACUAGCUCGACCGUAAACUGAACUCGGAUUCUUUGUUACAGUGGCUUCUCCACAUUUAGCUUCUCCUUUAGGUUUUUUAGAGGCAGAAGACUUAUUUUCAAACCGUUUCUCUUUCAAAAGUUCCGAUACAGUUUCACGAAUUCCAUUCAUAGAUGUUUUCUUGUUUUUCUUCAUCUUCUGUGAUUUGGCCUUGAACUUGACAUCCACAUUUUGUUCACCUGUCGGAGCAACAGAACGAAUAGGAACAGCAGCACAAGGUUUUGAUUUGGAUCCCAAUUGUGUUGCUGGGGGGAAAUUAUCUCGAUGAAUCCAUGGAAAAUGAGAAUCAAAUGUCUCUUCUUUGUGGUUAACUUGAGAUGCCAUUUGGUAUCUUAUGGGAGGAGAUUCUAUCUUUGUUUGAGCCAGUCCUGCAAAUAUGUACUUUGUGAGAAUUUCGCCACAACAACAACAACAAUAAUGCCUUAGUCCCAAACAAGUUGGGUACGACUAUAUG